rnacentral:rRNA from 1 species
AUGGAGACCUGUAUGAAUGGCAUAACGAGGGCUUAGCUGUCUCCUCUUUCAAGUCAAUGAAAUUGAUCUCCCCGUGCAGAAGCGGGGAUACGCACAUAAGACGAGAAGACCCUAUGGAGCUUUAGACACCAAGGCAGACCAUGUUAAACACCCCUAAAUAAAGGACCAAACCAAAUGAUCCCUGCCCUAAUGUC